AUUGUGAAUUAAUUAAAUUGUGAAUUUGUAACAACAUAUUCCUCAAUCAUCAUCAUGGAUCCAAAAAAGAAUAAAUUUCAUUCAUGGAUAUAAAUUCGAUGGUCAUCAUAUAACUUCUGCUAUAUAUAAAUUCGAUAGAAUAUUAAGGGAGACUUCAAAUUUGGCAUGAACUCUUAUGACCUGGAUUUCUUCCAUACUCAAAAGAGACAAAUUGAUAACCCAUAAAAUCAUUUCCCCAGAUAACUCAAUUGAAAAUCAGGGUCUACUUAUUUUGAAAAAAGACUAAUUUUGCAGCUAGCAAAUUAUCUAGUAAAAUAUGCAAAGUCAGGGGAAGAAAAACCUCAUACUGAUUUCAGGAUCAGUGUAAUUUCGCCUUUUUCUUGUAAGGAAAAAAUAAGAGCAAUUUAUACUAAACAAGUCCAAGACAAUAUAUCAUACUGCAAUCUACCCCUCCCUAUGUAUAAAUAAAGAAAACAUAACACACAAAAAAGAGGGGAGAAUUAAGAAAAGAUAGCAAUCGAACAAAUCACUGCAUACUAUUUAACCCUAACGAACAAACAAAGAACCCAUAUCAAACAGUUAAAUCGCCGAAAAAUCAAGAAUUGAAUAAACACGCACAAAAAUUGAAAUUUAUAUACAUACAAAAAAAAACGAACACAGAUAUACAGAAAAGCAUGGGGAUAGAGAGCGUUCAAAUCUUACAGUUACAGACUAAGAGAGUCCUUUACGAACCAAAUAGAUUUGCAGAGAGAAGAGGGUUAGGGCUAAUAAAUUGAAAAAUUAGAAAAAGGA
rnacentral:lncRNA from 1 species